rnacentral:rRNA from 1 species
GUGGGGAAUAUUGGACAAUGGGCGCAAGCCUGAUCCAGCCAUGCCGCGUGUGUGAAGAAGGCCUUCGGGUUGUAAAGCACUUUUGUCCGGGAAGAAAUCUUCCAGGUUAAUACCUUGCUGUUUUGACGUUACCGACAGAAUAAGCACCGGCUAACUUCGUGCCAGCAGCCGCGGUAAUACGAAGGGUGCAAGCGUUAAUCGGAAUUACUGGGCGUAAAGCGCGCGUAGGUGGUUUUGUAAGUUGGAGGUGAAAUCCCCGGGCUCAACCUGGGAACUGCCUCCAAAACUGCAUGACUAGAGUACGGUAGAGGGUAGUGGAAUUUCCUGUGUAGCGGUGAAAUGCGUAGAUAUAGGAAGGAACACCAGUGGCGAAGGCGACUACCUGGACUGAUACUGACACUGAGGUGCGAAAGCGUGGGGAGCAAACAGGAUUAGAAACCCCUGUAGUCC